CUGACCUCAGGGUACAGGGCUCUGGAUGAAAGGGGAUCAGGAAGAAUGUUUUGGGAUUGUGUAGGAACUGAUUAUGAGAUUUUUUAAAAGGAGUGUGGGAAUGUGUUAGGGACUGUUAGGGGGAGUUUAGUGGAACGAUCGGUGAUAGAGGAAGAGAUUAAUCAAGGUGGAUUUCAGUGUAGGAAGGAGUCUAGGCAUAGAAAGCUGGUUGAGUAUAACGGUCAGCAGCUUGUCUGACUGAGCUGUGUUUGAUCACCACAGCUGAUCCCUGUUGUGCUUAAAUCUGAUUUCUGAACACCUUCAGUGUGUCUGGCUCUCUGCUUCACAGCUGUAGGUGUGCCAACAGCUAGGAGCUCUAGGGGUUUCUGGGGGCUGCUGCUGGACAGGCUGCAGGUCUGGUGCCAACAGUGAGUGUGGUCUGUAUGGAAUAAGGCUGUAUUGUACUAGCAGGAGGGGAGGAGCAGGAUUAGGCCACCCGGGCUAUUCAUCUGAGUGCUGUGUGCAUGCAGCUGGAACUGAGCACGGAGGGAAGUGCCAGGGUUUCCCCUCUGCAAAGCUUCUCUGCCUCCUGGCCGUUGGCCCGUGGCUCCCUCCCGGCAGCACUCCUCACUCUCCUCACCCAAGGCCGGGUGUCCCAUCACCCCUGGGAGCUCCAGGGGCUUCUCACUCUGCUUCACGCAGCCCGCCAACGCCUUCUGCCUCUUCCUGCAGGGGAACGGCACCACCUAGUGCUGCUUGCCUGCUGCAGCUCGCGAGGGUUCGUGCUGACAGCAGCUGGGCUAGGGCAGACCAGCACGGGCAUAAGAAUCUUAGAUGUGGAUUUAUUGAAGGCGUGGUCACGGGUGACCCACAGGGAAAGUGGUAAACAGGGACAACACCACCACUUGUCUCACAUUGAUGCCAACUGUCUUUAUGCUGAAUUGAUGAAACAGCUGAAAGAAGAGAGUCUAAUUGAGCCCUGAGUGCUGCUGCCAGAUUGCUCACCACGGCUGUUUCCAGCAUAAUUGAUAUAGGCAAUCAUUGUUUAAUGAACUUCACGUACGAAUUUCAGUGGAUGAAAACUCUCGAUAUGGAAGCACAGGAGGCAGACAGGAGGGCGCUUGCUUCCAUCUGGCGAGGGCUCCGGCGUGUAUUUACUCGUGUCUCACAAGGCUUAUCACAGCCUACCUCUCUGUCCACGCUGCGUCGGCCGAAGAGCUGGAAACAUUAAUAUUACCACCAGAGGUCACUGUGGGGCAACGCAUCAGUGGUGCCUUCAGAGGCGGCCGAUAGGCAGAACGUGUGAACCGGGCUGUGAGCACUUGUCAUUACACUCCUGCGGUUCGGUAAAACCGGUAAGAAACAAAACAAAACCACCAAAACCAAACAACCGAGGAUUCAGUGAGGAAUUAAUCUUCUGGGGAGACAGUGGCAGGUGGGAGAAGAAUUGUCCCUGCUGAGGUACUACCUGAUGGUUACACGUGCUUCAGAAUAAGAGGAGCUAUGCGCUGUGCUGGAGACUUUAGGAUCUUGGAGAGUAUCUGUUCCAGGAAUUAUUAUAAUAGGUUGUCCAUCCUAUAACUUACUAUAGAAAACAAGAGCCUGAAUCCUGCAGCAUCACUGGGAGAAAUCAAUGAGUGAUAGAAGCAUGUGGUUCCCUGCUGCAGUAUACAGUGGUGUCCAUCUUCCCUCCUCUAGGGAGGCUUGCACCUUGCUCAGCCUGGGGUGCUAGGAAGAGUCUGUUCAGGCUUCUCUGACCCUUGAUCUAUUACUCUGUACAGUAUAUAUGUCCUGUGCACAUAUGUUUGUGAGGGGGGCCUCUACUAGGAGUACGAUGGCCUGGCUGGAACAGGGAACACAGAGAUGUGGCAGUGUUGCCUCCAUCAGACAACUGACUUCAGCACCAUGACAAUUUGGACUGCAGGGUGGCAGAACCCCAAGGUACAAAACAUGACCGGGUGGAGGCAGCUGCCUUUGAGUCAGUGCAGCACAAGUCUGCAGGAGAAAGCCCACCCAGAAGCAACAGACUUGAUCUUCUGAAAGGUAUGCAGGUGGAGCAUCCAUUUCUCAUGAGGAAGAAAUACUGAAUAAAGAACUAGAGCUCCAGCAGUGAAGAACAGCAAAACAUGCUGCCUUUACGGUCUGCAGCAAGUUAUGCCACUGUAGAAAUUAAACCAAGACACAUGUUGUUGAUUUCUGAAGUGCCAAAAGAAGGACAAGGUCAGAGCUGGUCUCUGAAUACAUCAUCCCAAUGGCAUUUCAAUGGAAAUGCAAAUUUAGGAAUUUGGGAUUAGGAACAAAAAAUUUCAGAAAAUAGACACAGACCCAGAAGAAUUAAAGGAAAGGAGUUGGGCAGAUCCCGUAUGUUGUAGACCAAUACACAGAUCAGCAAGCACACACAGAGAAAGAAGAAUAUUACCUGUCAGUGGAAGGUGAGAAAACAAACAUGGGAGGAUGAUAUUUGCCAAGAAGGUAGAUCUUGUGAUAGUCCACAGAAUCAGAACUCAGUGGCUCUGGAGGCCUUAAAUGCUGACACCAAGAAAUGCCCCCCUGUUUAUCCCACUGGACAUUGAAGAAUAAUUUUGCCACUCAGCUGGUAAGUUUUAAAGACAAACUGAAGAACUGCCUUAUACACUGCUCGCAAGCUGGUGCUUCUGCAAAACUGCCUGCUUUGUUUCAGUCAGAGCAAUCCAUAGCCCUCAGUCCUAACCCAGUGACAGCUUAAUGCGUAGAGUGUCACUCCUGCAAAUGACCUCUCUCCCUUACGUUGAGUAGCUGAGAUGUCAGUGCUAAGAGCCAGUGGUACUGUAACCCUAUUACUUGGUCCUCAGAGCCACAUUUGAUUGUGUUCUUUGGCAGCAACAGGAAAUAAAUGCACUCAUUUCGGUGUCACCACUGAGGUAUAGCAGCACAACUAAGUUACAUGCCAGAGCAAAUAAAUCCACUUGGCAGCAGCAGCUGCACUUGUUUUCUCUCACCAUGCAAAACCUCAGAUGGUGUAAGCACUCCAGAGGAGAGCAGACAUGUCCCACUCUCUCUCUGGGACAUCAGAAGGAGCACAACGAUUCAGGUGAUACUGCAACACUGAGUGACUUCCUCGUGCAUUUUAACCCUUCCACAUCAGGAAUUUGUGCUGAGACACAAAUACAAGUCUUGAGAACUUCUACUUUCUGUCGGAUGAGUUCCUUUUGGGGCAGAAAGCGACUCCUUUAGGAAGCUCUCUAGCAGCAGGAUCCACCUCACAGUUCCUGAAGGACCGAGCAAUACGAACAUCAUCUUCGACUUGUAUGUCUCUCUGGGGGCAUCCUGGACCUUCUGCUUCCCAGCUGUGGGGGUGAGGAGAAGCAGCAGCCCCCAGAGGAGAGUGUGACACAUCCACCCUAUGGCAUUAUCACAGAAACCUCUGACACGUCACACGCUUCUAGAAAUGCAAACCACCCUGCUGUUAUUUCUAUGCCCUACGUGUUCCCGCCAUCUUUAGAGGAAACAGCGACCAGAAAGCAAACCAAGCAAUGGAAGUAAACCAAAAGCAAAGAACAACCACCGCCACGCUUAAACAAAACAAACAAAAACCCACACGAAAAGAAAAACAACAAAACCAAACCACCCCAAACAGGAAGGGCGGUGUCCUCAAGAUGUACGGUGGCAGUUUUACGGUUUGGCUGACUGCUUCCUGAGCGGCUGAGCCCUCGGGACUGCCCCGCUGUUGCUGUUUCGGCACGCUGCUGCUCCCCGUUCCGCCCUGCGCGCCGGUGAAGGGCAGCCCCGCUCUCUGUCGCUUCUCACGCUGCGGCCAGUCGGUCGGCUCCGGUCAGCCGUAAG
ensembl:lncRNA